rnacentral:misc_RNA from 1 species
UCCGAGUUGUCCCCGGCAGUCCUCUUAGAGUCCCCGGCAUUACCCGCUGGCAACUAAGAGCAGGGGUUGCGCUCGUUGCGGCACUUAAGCCAACACCUCACGGCACGAGCUGACGACAGCCAUGCAGCAUCUGUGCACGCUCCCUCGCGGGUCCCUUCCCUUUCGGGUCGGUACCACGUGCAUGUCAAGCCGAGGUAAGGUUCUGCGCGUUGCAUCGAAUUAAACCACACGCUCCGCUGCUUGUGCGGGCCCCCGUCAAUUCCUUUGAGUUUCAGCCUUGCGGCCGUACUCCCCAGGCGGGGCACUUACUGCGUUAGCGACGGCACCGAGGAAUCGAAUCCCCAACACCUAGUAUGCAUCGUUUACGGCGUGGACUAC